CGGCGGGUGGACCCACGGCGCUGCCCGAGGCGCAGCGGACCUGACUCCAACCCCGAUCCCGGGAGCUCGACCCCGGGAGUGCGACCCAGGGGACACCGAGCCCCUGCAGCCCCGCGGGCACCAGCGCGCUGGGUCUCCUUAUCCCUGACCGGAGCCUCCCUCCCGCCCCGCCGGGUGCUAAGGCCGCGCCAGUGAGAGACGGACCCGGCGUCCACACACAGGCCCAUGCCACCGCGUGGUCUGUGAGUCGCCAUCGUCUGUGACUGCACUUGCCAUCUGUGUUCAGAACCUAGCACAGUGUCACUUCCAGAGCAGAACCCAGUCAAUUUUGGUUGAAAGUCCUGUGUCGUGAUGGAAGAAGAGGAAGAAGCAUUUGGACACUCUGGAGGUGUUUUCUCUCAAGUCUGGCUGUGGCUCUUCUUCAAGUGCUGAUCCUACAGAUGAAGAGAGAAAGGUCCUUCUCUCAUGGUGCAGACUGAGGACAAAACAGCAAUGCACCUGAACACGUCUGUCUCCAAGCCAUCCCCAAGAUUCUGUUUCAGUCCUUCUUUGAGCUGUGGCCUUUACCACUGUAGAACUUCAGUUUUAUGGUGUUGACCUUUAAAUCCAAGAUGGAUCCGAUAAUUCAGAUAAGCGUUGACCAGCAGAUGACUUCCAGUUUAGACUACAGCAUAUGUCUUUAAUAUUCAAACAGGCUUCCAAAUCAAUACUCUUACUGAAUUAUAAUUUUCUACAUCUCGUUUAUUAAAAAUAUGAAUUUAUGAAAACAACAGAACUUAGCAACCUUAACCUGUCCUUUAUCCAUGUUUCAAGACUCUUGGGUUGUGUGGGAAGGUGUUACCGUGAACGUGCUCCUCCACCCCACACCUUGGGCUGGCUUCCCUAUCAGGUGGGCCAAUUCAGCUCCCA